rnacentral:rRNA from 1 species
GUCGAACGGAAACAUGUCUAGCUUGCUAGAUGAUGUCGAGUGGCGGACGGGUGAGUAAUGCUUGGGAACUUGCCUUUGCGAGGGGGAUAACAGUUGGAAACGACUGCUAAUACCGCAUAAUGUCUACGGACCAAACAGGGCUUCGGCUCUGGCGCAAAGAGAGGCCCAAGUGAGAUUAGCUAGUUGGUGAGGUAAAGGCUCACCAAGGCAACGAUCUCUAGCUGUUCUGAGAGGAAGAUCAGCCACACUGGGACUGAGACACGGCCCAGACUCCUACGGGAGGCAGCAGUGGGGAAUAUUGCACAAUGGGGGAAACCCUGAUGCAGCCAUGCCGCGUGUGUGAAGAAGGCCUUCGGGUUGUAAAGCACUUUCAGUUGUGAGGAAAAGUUAGUAGUUAAUACCUGCUAGCCGUGACGUUAACAACAGAAGAAGCACCGGCUAACUCCGUGCCAGCAGCCGCGGUAAUACGGAGGGUGCGAGCGUUAAUCGGAAUUACUGGGCGUAAAGCGCACGCAGGCGGUUUGUUAAGCUAGAUGUGAAAGCCCCGGGCUCAACCUGGGACGGUCAUUUAGAACUGGCAGACUAGAGUCUUGGAGAGGGGAGUGGAAUUCCAGGUGUAGCGGUGAAAUGCGUAGAUAUCUGGAGGAACAUCAGUGGCGAAGGCGACUCCCUGGCCAAAGACUGACGCUCAUGUGCGAAAGUGUGGGUAGCGAACAGGAUUAGAUACCCUGGUAGUCCACACCGUAAACGCUGUCUACUAGCUGUUUGUGACUUUAAGUCGUGAGUAGCGAAGCUAACGCGAUAAGUAGACCGCCUGGGGAGUACGGCCGCAAGGUUAAAACUCAAAUGAAUUGACGGGGGCCCGCACAAGCGGUGGAGCAUGUGGUUUAAUUCGAUGCAACGCGAAGAACCUUACCUAC